rnacentral:rRNA from 1 species
GAUGAGCGCUGGCGGCGUGCCUAAUACAUGCAAGUCGAGCGAACAGAUAAGGAGCUUGCUCCUUUGACGUUAGCGGCGGACGGGUGAGUAACACGUGGGUAACCUACCUAUAAGACUGGGAUAACUUCGGGAAACCGGAGCUAAUACCGGAUAAUAUUUCGAACCGCAUGGUUCGAUAGUGAAAGAUGGUUUUGCUAUCACUUAUAGAUGGACCCGCGCCGUAUUAGCUAGUUGGUAAGGUAACGGCUUACCAAGGCGACGAUACGUAGCCGACCUGAGAGGGUGAUCGGCCACACUGGAACUGAGGCACGGUCCAGACUCCUACGGGAGGCAGCAGUAGGGAAUCUUCCGCAAUGGGCGAAAGCCUGACGGAGCAACGCCGCGUGAGUGAUGAAGGUCUUCGGAUCGUAAAACUCUGUUAUUAGGGAAGAACAUACGUGUAAGUAACUGUGCACGUCUUGACGGUACCUAAUCAGGAAGCCACGGCUAACUACGUGCCAGCAGCCGCGGUAAUACGUAGGUGGCAAGCGUUAUCCGGAAUUAUUGGGCGUAAAGCGCGCGUAGGCGGUUUUUUAAGUCUGAUGUGAAAGCCCACGGCUCAACCGUGGAGGGUCAUUGGAAACUGGAAAACUUGAGUGCAGAAGAGGAAAGUGGAAUUCCAUGUGUAGCGGUGAAAUGCGCAGAGAUAUGGAGGAACACCAGUGGCGAAGGCGACUUUCUGGUCUGUAACUGACGCUGAUGUGCGAAAGCGUGGGGAUCAAACAGGAUUAGAUACCCUGGUAGUCCACGCCGUAAACGAUGAGUGCUAAGUGUUAGGGGGUUUCCGCCCCUUAGUGCUGCAGCUAACGCAUUAAGCACUCCGCCUGGGGAGUACGACCGCAAGGUUGAAACUCAAAGGAAUUGACGGGGACCCGCACAAGCGGUGGAGCAUGUGGUUUAAUUCGAAGCAACGCGAAGAACCUUACCAAAUCUUGACAUCCUUUGACAACUCUAGAGAUAGAGCUUCCCCCUUCGGGGGACAAAGUGACAGGUGGUGCAUGGUUGUCGUCAGCUCGUGUCGUGAGAUGUUGGGUUAAGUCCCGCAACGAGCGCAACCCUUAAGCUUAGUUGCCAUCAUUAAGUUGGGCACUCUAAGUUGACUGCCGGUGACAAACCGGAGGAAGGUGGGGAUGACGUCAAAUCAUCAUGCCCCUUAUGAUUUGGGCUACACACGUGCUACAAUGGACAAUACAAAGGGCAGCGAAACCGCGAGGUCAAGCAAAUCCCAUAAAGUUGUUCUCAGUUCGGAUUGUAGUCUGCAACUCGACUACAUGAAGCUGGAAUCGCUAGUAAUCGUAGAUCAGCAUGCUACGGUGAAUACGUUCCCGGGUCU